GUGGGGUUGUGGCUCAGUGGUAGAGUACUCACCUAGUAUGCAUGAGGCACUGGGUUCAAUCCUCAGCACCACA
rnacentral:tRNA from 1 species